GUAGGGAAUAUUGCAAAAUGGGCGAAAGCCCGAUGCAGCAACGCCGCGUGGGCGAUGAAGGCCUUCGGGUCGUAAAGUCCUUUUUGAGGGGAUGAGGAAGGACAGUACCCUCAGAAUAAGCACCGGCUAACUCCGUGCCAGCAGCCGCGGUAAUACGGAGGGUGCAAGCGUUAUCCGGAUUCACUGGGUUUAAAGGGUGCGUAGGUGGGCAGAUAAGUCAGUGGUGAAAUCUUCCGGCUUAACCGGGAAACUGCCGUUGAUACUAUUUGUCUUGAAUAUUGCGGAGGUAAGCGGAAUAUGUCAUGUAGCGGUGAAACGCUUAGAUAUGACAUAGAACACCAAUUGCGAAGGCAGCUUACUACACAAUCAUUGACACUGAGGCACGAAAGCGUGGGUAGCGAACA
rnacentral:rRNA from 1 species